CCUACGGGUGGCAGCAGUGGGGGAUAUUGCACAAUGGGGGAAACCCUGAAGCAGCGACGCCGCGUGGGGGAAGAAGGGUCUCGGCGCGUAAAGCCCUGUUGUCAGGGAAGAAAAUGACGGUACCUGACGAAGAAGCACCGGCUAACUCCGUGCCAGCAGCCGCGGUAAUACGGAGGGGGCAAGCGUUAUUCGGAUUUACUGGGCGUAAAGGGGGCGCAGGCGGGGUUGGAAGUCAGGAGUGAAAUCCUGUGGCUCAACUACGGGACUGCCGUUGGAACUGCGUGGCUAGAGUGCAGGAGGGGCAGGCGGAAUUCCUGGUGUAGCGGUGAAAGGCGUAGAUAUCAGGAGGAACACCGAUGGCGAAGGCGGCCUGCUGGA
rnacentral:rRNA from 1 species